rnacentral:rRNA from 1 species
AACGCGAAGAACCUUACCUGGGCUAGAAUGCGCGGGAAGAGCAUGCAAAACAGGCUCGUCUGGGGUAACACUCAGACCCAAAGCAAGGUGCUGCAUGGCUGUCGUCAGCUCGUGUCGUGAGAUGUUGGGUUAAGUCCCGCAACGAGCGCAACCCUUACCGCUAGUUGCUACAGUUCGGCUGAGCACUCUAGUGGAACCGCUGGUGAUAAACUGGAGGAAGGUGGGGACGACGUCAAGUCAUCAUGGCCUUUAUGUCCAGGGCUACACACGUGCUACAAUGGUCGGUACAGAGGGCAGCAAACCCGCGAGGGGAAGCCAAUCUCAAAAAACCGGCCUCAGUUCGGAUUGCAGUCUGCAACUCGACUGCAUGAAGUUGGAAUCGCUAGUAAUCGCGGAUCAGCACGCCGCGGUGAAUACGUUCCCGGGCCUUGUACACACCGUAGUAC